GGAGGGGAAGGGAAGGGAAGGGAUGGUGUAGCCGCUGUUCCGGCUCCGCGGCAAAAGAUAGAUUAAUGUGGUAGAUAUGUAUGUAGGCAUUAUUGGAUUAUAUGAAUUUAUGAAUUAUGUCGGGAUGGUCGAGCGAAGGGGUGGUGUGAGGCGGUAGUGUGGGGUGGUGUGGGGCGGUAGUGUGGGGUGGUGUGAGGCGGUAGUGUGGGGUGGUGUGGGGCGGUAGUGUGGGGUGGUGUGGGGCGGUAGUGUGGGGUGGUGUGAGGCGGUAGUGUGGGGUGGUGUGAGGCGGUAGUGUGGGGUGGUGUGAGGCGGUAGUGUGGGGUGGUGUGAGGCGGUAGUGUCGCCAGAUGUUCACGGGAAAAGUGUCGAGACAGCGGCGAGAUGACUGAAAUGCUGACUCGGGACGCCUGCUGGAGGCCCUCAACUCCUAGGAAAGCCAUGCCAAAUGUGUGUUUCCUUAGGUUCAAAGUACAGAGGAAGGGUCACACUACUACCAGGGCCACAAAACUACCCCUGGAAAUGCCCACAACUCCUAGGAAAGCCUUGCCAAAUGUGUGUUUCCUUAGGUUCAAAGUACAGAGGAAGGGUCACACUACCACCAGGGCCACAAAACUACCCCUGGAAAUGCCCACAACUCCUAGGAAAGCCUUGCCAAAUGUGUGUUUCCUUAGGUUCACGGUACAGAGGAAGGGUCACAAAACUACCCCUGGAAAUGCCCACAACUCCUAGGAAAGCCUUGCCAAAUGUGUGUUUCCUUAGGUUCACGGUACAGAGGAAGGGUCACAAAACUACCCCUGGAAAUGCCCACAACUCCUAGGAAAGCCUUGCCAAAUAUGUGUUUCCUUAGGUUCACGGUACAGAGGAAGGGUCACACUACCACCAGGGUCACAAAACUACCCCUGGAAAUGCCCACAACUCCUAGGAAAGCCUUGCCAAAUAUGUGUUUCCUUAGGUUCACGGUACAGAGGAAGGGUCACACUACCACCAGGGCCACAAAACUACCCCUGGAAAUGCCCACAACUCCUAGGAAAGCCUUGCCAAAUAUGUGUUUCCUUAGGUUCACGAUACAGAAGAAGGGUCACACUACCACCAGGGUCACAAAACUACCCCUGGAAAUGCCCACAACUCCUAGGAAAGCCUUGUCAAAUGUGUGUUUCCUUAGGUUCAAAGUACAGAGGAAGGGUCACACUACCACCAGGGCCACAAAACUACCCCUGGAAAUGCCCACAACUCCUAGGAAAGCCUUGUCAAAUGUGUGUUUCCUUAGGUUCACGGU